rnacentral:rRNA from 1 species
CAAGUCGAACGGAAUCCUUAGGGAUUUAGUGGCGGACGGGUGAGUAACACGUAAGAACCUGCCUCUAGGACGGGGACAACAGUUGGAAACGACUGCUAAACCCGGAUGAGCCGAAAGGUAAAAGAUUAAUCGCCUAGAGAGGGGCUUGCGUCUGAUUAGCUAGUUGGUGAGGUAAGAGCCCACCAAGGCGACGAUCAGUAGCUGGUCUGAGAGGAUGAUCAGCCACACUGGGACUGAGACACGGCCCAGACUCCUACGGGAGGCAGCAGUGGGGAAUUUUCCGCAAUGGGCGAAAGCCUGACGGAGCAAGACCGCGUGGGGGAGGAAGGUUCUUGGAUUGUCAACCCCUUUUCUCAGGGAAGAACACAAUGACGGUACCUGAGGAAAAAGCAUCGGCUAACUCCGUGCCAGCAGCCGCGGUAAUACGGGGGAUGCAAGCGUUAUCCGGAAUGAUUGGGCGUAAAGAGUCCGUAGGUAGUCAUCCAAGUCUGCUGUUAAAGAGCGAGGCUUAACCUCGUAAAGGCAGUGGAAACUGGAAGACUAGAGUGUAGUAGGGGCAGAGGGAAUUCCUGGUGUAGCGGUGAAAUGCGUAGAGAUCAGGAAGAACACCGGUGGCGAAGGCGCUCUGCUGGGCUAUAACUGACACUGAGGAACGAAAGCUAGGGGAGCGAAUGGGAUUAGAUACCCCAGUAGUCCUAGCGGUAAACGAUGGAAACUAGGUGUGGCCUGUAUCGACCCGGGCCGUGCCGAAGCAAACGCGUUAAGUUUCCCGCCUGGGGAGUACGCACGCAAGUGUGAAACUCAAAGGAAUUGACGG